CAAAGAUUAAGCCAUGCAUGUCUAAGUACACGCCUCAAGACGGCGAGACUGCGAAUGGCUCAUUAAAUCAGUUAUGGUUCCUUAGAUCGUACAAUCCUACUUGGAUAACUGUGGCAAUUCUAGAGCUAAUACAUGCAACACAGCUCCGACCUCGCGGGAAGAGCGCUUUUGUUAGCCCAAAACCAAUCCGGUCCUCGCGGCCGGCCCACCUGGUGACUCUGAACAACUUUGUGCCGAUCGCAUGCCCUAGCGGCGGCGACGUAUCUUUCAAAUGUCUGCCCUAUCAACUGUCGAUGGUACGUGCUAUGCCUACCAUGGUGAUAACGGGUAACGGGGAAUCAGGGUUCGAUUCCGGAGAGGGAGCAUGAGAUACGGCUACCACAUCC
rnacentral:rRNA from 1 species